rnacentral:rRNA from 1 species
UGGGUAACCUGCCUGUAAGACUGGGAUAACUCCGGGAAACCGGGGCUAAUACCGGAUGGUUGUUUGAACCGCAUGGUUCAAACAUAAAAGGUGGCUUCGGCUACCACUUACAGAUGGACCCGCGGCGCAUUAGCUAGUUGGUGAGGUAACGGCUCACCAAGGCAACGAUGCGUAGCCGACCUGAGAGGGUGAUCGGCCACACUGGGACUGAGACACGGCCCAGACUCCUACGGGAGGCAGCAGUAGGGAAUCUUCCGCAAUGGACGAAAGUCUGACGGAGCAACGCCGCGUGAGUGAUGAAGGUUUUCGGAUCGUAAAGCUCUGUUGUUAGGGAAGAACAAGUACCGUUCGAAUAGGGCGGUACCUUGACGGUACCUAACCAGAAAGCCACGGCUAACUACGUGCCAGCAGCCGCGGUAAUACGUAGGUGGCAAGCGUUGUCCGGAAUUAUUGGGCGUAAAGGGCUCGCAGGCGGUUUCUUAAGUCUGAUGUGAAAGCCCCCGGCUCAACCGGGGAG